UACGUAGGGUGCGAGCGUUAAUCGGAAUUACUGGGCGUAAAGCGUGCGCAGGCGGUUGGUUAAGUCUGAUGUGAAAGCCCCGGGCUCAACCUGGGAAUGGCAUUGGAAACUGGCCAGCUGGAGUGUGGCAGAGGGGGGUGGAAUUCCGCGUGUAGCAGUGAAAUGCGUAGAUAUCGGAAGGAACAUCAGUGGCGAAAGCGACUUCCUGGACCAAUACUGACGCUCAUGUGCGAAAGCGUGGGGAGCAAACAGG
rnacentral:rRNA from 1 species